AGCAAAAGUAGUCUUUGGAGAGAUUUAUUUUAUGAGAGUCACUUCUGGUGAAAAAUAUGCAAAGACUUCAUUUGCACUUUGGGACUGCAUAUUGGUGCCUGUCCUGAUCGCCCCUACUCUCGGAUUUCCCCUUUUCUCCAUUCACUGCCCUAAAACUCCAGAGUUUCCCAGUGGAAUGUGGCUGCCUGUUGACUGCCUGGAAUCAGCAUCUCCAGCUCCUUUUUUAUGCUCUAGGCGAGAGGUGCUUUAACUUUGGUGCACAUAAAAGUCACUGGAAAAUGUUUAAACCACAGAUCCGUUCCUAAGUCCCUCUCUAGAGACAGGUUCCCUAGGGCUGGGGUGCAGCUCAGCAUUCUGGCGUGAGCAAGUUUCCUUGGUGAUUUGCAUGCUCUUCAGUGUGAGAACUAUACUCCCAUCUUCAGUUUCACUUCCCCAAAUACAGCCGCAUUCCAGAUCUGCUCUUCCAAGAUUACACUGUGGUUAGUGUGGUUUUGCCUGUUGGGAAACUCUUCAGUCACACUUUUCCAAAAGUCAGCUUGUGAUCAAUCUUGUCCAUUGGACUCCUGGAUGGCAACUUAAUUUUUUUAAGUUUUUGGAAGGCAUAUCACUCCCACACACACCCCACCAGGACAUGUCUUACAUAUAAACACUCUUAUCAGUUGAAUCUCACAUGGUCCUCAGUAAUCCCCACGGAGCAGGUAACAUUUUAGCAUAAGGAAACUGCCUCAGAAUGGCCAAGUAAUUGACCUGACUCCAGCUAACCAGUGGCAUUGUGAGAAAUUGAGACCAGAUCUCCACACUCACAGUCCAGUCUGCCUAAGGACAGCAGUGUCUUCCACCUGUGAAGGGAGCAGCAUUCCUCCCAACAGUCAUAGACCUUGGAAAAGCAGACUGGGCAGCAAGGGGAAGAGUGAAGAAGCAGGUGCCUUCAUGCUGAAAGAGAUAGCCAGACUAUCUGGGAACUCUGCCCUCUGGGAGAAAGGCCUGUUGCUUGUAAAGUAGUAGCAGCCCUUUCCAUGUAAUCUAUGCCCCCUUGACCAGAGCCAAAGAGCCCCAUAGGUGAAGAGUGGACUGCUAAGUCAAACUGGAUUCAUCUGCUUGACUUUCCAUUUCUUUUUUCUUUCUUUCUUUGUUUUUGUUAUUUGGACUCCUUUCCCCCUCAUGACCAACAGCAGAGCCCACUCCAUUUCACCCCAAAGUCCAGCACUGCUGCUUUUUAUUGCUACUCACAAUAACCUAACAGUACACAACAUUGCUUACUGCAGCCUUGAACUCCUGGGCUCAAGCGAUCCUCCCACCUCAGCCUCCUGAGUUGCUGAGACAGCAGGUAUGCACCAUCAUGCCUGGCUAUUUUUUUUAUUUUUUGUAGAGAAUCGGUCUCACUAUGUUGCCUAGGCUGGUCUUGAAUGCCUAGCUUCAAGCAAUCCUCCCGCCUUGGCCUCCCUAAGUGUUGAGAUUACAGGUGUGAGCCACCACGCCCAGCUUAGUUCUGCAGUUCAUAAAACCUAAACUUCAUAGCAUGACAUAGAAUGUCACUGAGAUACUGACACUUCCUCUCAGCUGCCCAGCAGCGGUCUUCAGGAUCUCAGUUUAGAUGUUACCUUCAUGAAAACAUCUCUGGUCAGCGUGGCACUCCUCCUCCAUCUGCUGUGCUGGCCCUUGGCCAUAUUCUACCAUGCAGUGACCUGUUUACCUGUUUUACCUGCUACGUGGUGAGCUCUGUGAGACUCUCCAUUACUGUAGACACAACAAUGGACAUGAAGAAGAGGCUGAACAAUAGCUUCUUGAAGAAUUUAGGGACAAUCAGGUAUAUCCACAUUCAAAUGUCACCUAAUCAUGCUUCCCUUGUCUUCCUCCUUUUUACGUCACUGAUUUUUUAAUAGUUUCAUUGAGUCAUAGUUUACAUACCUUAAAGUUCAUUCAUUUUAAGUGUCCAACUCAAUGACUUUUAGUAAAUGUACAGAGCUGUGCAACCAUUAUCACCAUCUUGUUUUAAAAUAUUUUCAUCACUCAGUUAAUCCCUUUUGCAGUUCCCCUUUUCACCUGCAUCAUCAGGCAACCACUAUUUUAUUUUGUCUCUAUAGAUUUUCCUAUUCUGGACAUUUCACAUAAGUGGAAUCAUAU
rnacentral:lncRNA from 10 species